rnacentral:rRNA from 1 species
UGAAGAUGCAGUGUACCCGCGGCAAGACGGAAAGACCCCGUGAACCUUUACUAUAGCUUGACACUGAACAUUGAGCCUUGAUGUGUAGGAUAGGUGGGAGGCUUUGAAGCGUGGACGCCAGUCUGCGUGGAGCCGACCUUGAAAUACCACCCUUUAAUGUUUGAUGUUCUAACGUUGGCCCCUUACCGGGGUUGCGGACAGUGUCUGGUGGGUAGUUUGACUGGGGCGGUCUCCUCCCAAAGCGUAACGGAGGAGCACGAAGGUUAGCU